GGCACCUGCUGCUGGCCCUGGUUUCCUGAUGGGUCAAAUGCAGGCUCUUCUCCAGGAAAGGUGCUCAGAGGGAUGGGCCCUCAGGAUGAAGCGUGGAAAGGGAGAAUUACCCCUGAUGCGGACCUGAGUUUUACUCUUUCUGAGAGGUCAAUGUCAUCUCAGAUAUACAGAAAAAGGAGAAUACAAAGCAGGUCCUUCUUGAUCAUCUUUGUAACCAGAUCUUACAGGAAACAGCAGAAGGAGCUCUGGCUGGUGGUCAGGCAUCACUCCCACCUUGGCCUGGUGUUUUCAGCCUCUCCUCAUCCUACCCUACUAGAAGGUAACUUCUAGAAGGUCAGGAUAUUGCCUGGAUUUGCUUACGGUUGUAUUCCCGUUGUCUAGCACAUUGCCUGGCAUAGAACAAGC
rnacentral:lncRNA from 1 species